rnacentral:misc_RNA from 1 species
GAUGAAGAACGCAGCGAAAUGCGAUACUUGGUGUGAAUUGCAGAAUCCCGUGAACCAUCGAGUCUUUGAACGCAAGUUGCGCCUGAAGCCAGUAGGCCGAGGGCACGCCUGCCUGGGCGUCACACGUCGUUGCCCCCCCAUCUACUCCUUCGGGAUUGCGGGGGGCGGAUGAUGGCCUCCCGUGCGCCUCGUCGCGCGGUUGGCCUAAAUGCCAAGUCCUCGGCGACGCACGCCACGACAAUCGGUGGUUGCGAAACCUCGGUUGCCUGUCGUGUGCGGUCGUCGAGCAUCGAGGGCUCGAAAAAAUUGCCGGGCUUCGGCUCGACUUUCAACGCGACCCCAGGUCAGGCGGGGUUACCCGCUGAAUUUAAGCAUAUCAAUAAGCGGAGGA